rnacentral:rRNA from 1 species
AGCUCCAAUAGCGUAUAUUAAAGUUGUUGCAGUUAAAAAGCUCGUAGUCGAAUUUCGGGGCGGUGGUCUCGGUCUGCCGAUGGGUAUGCACUGAGAGCGUCGUCCUUUGUUGCUGGGGACCGUACGUGCACUUGACUGUGCGUGUGCGGGAAACAGCGAUUUUACUUUGAGAAAAUCAGAGUGUUUAAAGCAGGCCAAGAUUGCUCUUGCAUGGAUUAGCAUGGGAUAAUGAAAUAGGACUUUGGUGCUAUUUUGUUGGUUUCGAGUACCGAAGUAAUGAUUAAUAGGGAUAGUCAGGGGCACUUGUAUUCCGUUGAGAGAGGUGAAAUUCUUAGACCAAUGGAAGACAAACUACUGCGAAAGCAUUUGCCAGGGAUGUUUUCA